rnacentral:misc_RNA from 1 species
GAUGAAGAACGUAGCGAAAUGCGAUAAGUAGUGUGAAUUGCAGAAUUCAGUGAAUCAUCGAAUCUUUGAACGCACAUUGCGCCCCUUGGUAUUCCAUGGGGCAUGCCUGUUCGAGCGUCAUUUGUGCCUUCAAGCUUUGCUUGGUGUUGGGUGUUUGUCUCGCCUUUGCGUGUAGACUCGCCUUAAAAUAAUUGGCAGCCGGCGUAUUGAUUUCGGAGCGCAGUACAUCUCGCGCUUUGCACUCAUAACGACAGCGUCCAAAAGUACAUUUUACACUCUUGACCUCGGAUCAGGUAGGGAUACCCGCUGAACUUAAGCAUAUCAAUAAGCGGAGGA